ensembl:lncRNA
AGAGUCGCGCAGGCGCCGUGCGAGUGCUGCAUUUUACCGCCGCAGAGGUGGAGCUCUGAAGGUUUAGGGUGUGACACCACUGGAAGUUCCAUAAAUGACAUGGCAGCUCAAGAGGAUGAAGCAGUGAUGCCUCAAAGGCCCAGUGUCUGGCCCACAUCUACACAGGGAGUGGAAGAGGGUAGCAGGACCUACUCCUCAGCAGGCCAUGGGCAGCGAGUGGCCAGUGAGCUCCCACUCAGUCAAGCAGGUGCUCAAUAAAUAUCUAACGAAUGACUGAACACAUCGUGCCAGCAUCAGGAUGCCACCAGGGUCCUGAGGGAGCCGGAGAGAUGGGAGGAAAGCUCCUGGACUCCUGCCACGUCUUACAUUAGCAGCAUCUUCUCCAACAGCCUGCCCCCAGGGACACCAUCUGAACCAGCUGAAUUCCGGGCACUGCUUCACCUUGGAAAGGAGGCCACAGCUCUCUAGAGC